rnacentral:rRNA from 1 species
UACGUAGGGGGCAAGCGUUGUCCGGAUUUAUUGGGCGUAAAGAGCGUGUAGGCGGUUUGGUUGGUCCGCUGUGAAAACUCGAGGCUCAACCUCGAGACGCCGGUGGAAACCAUCAGGCUAGAGUCCGGAAGAGGAGAGUGGAAUUCCUGGUGUAGCGGUGAAAUGCGCAGAUAUCAGGAAGAACACCCGUGGCUAAGGCGGCUCUCUAGUACGGUACUGACGCUGAGACGCGAAAGCGUGGGGAGCGAACAGG